UACGUAGGUGGCGAGCGUUGUCCGGAUUUACUGGGCGUAAAGUGUGCGCAGGCGGCGUUGCAAGUCGAGUGUGAAAUCCCCGAGCUUAACUUGGGAAUUGCGCUCGAAACUACGAUGCUCGAGUAUGGCAGAGGAAGGUGGAAUUCCACGUGUAGCGGUGAAAUGCGUAGAGAUGCGGAGGAACACCGGUGGCGAAGGCGGCACGCUGGACACCUUCUGACGCUGAGGCGCGAAAGCCAGGGGAGCAAACGGG
rnacentral:rRNA from 1 species